GUUUCAGUUAUCCUUACACAGUUUGAUCAUUUUUGAAGCUGGCCUGGUUAAAAAGUUCCUAUUGAUAAUGACUGCAGUUCAAGCUUCUGCUGCUGAGCACCUUCUACUCCUGAUAAAGAAAUAAAAUAUUCAAUACUCAGAAGCACACUUCAUCAUCCUUUGUAUUCCUUUCCCAUUACCACCCACC